CCUACGGGUGGCAGCAGUCGAGAAUCAUUCACAAUGGGGGAAACCCUGAUGGUGCGACGCCGCGUGGGGGAAUGAAGGUCUUCGGAUUGUAAACCCCUGUCAUGUGGGAGCAAAUUAAAAAGAUAGUACCACAAGAGGAAGAGACGGCUAACUCUGUGCCAGCAGCCGCGGUAAUACAGAGGUCUCAAGCGUUGUUCGGAAUCACUGGGCGUAAAGCGUGCGUAGGCUGUUUCGUAAGUCGUGUGUGAAAGGCGCGGGCUCAACCCGCGGACGGCACAUGAUACUGCGAGACUAGAGUAAGGGAGAGGGAACCGGAAUUCUCGGUGUAGCAGUGAAAUGCGUAGAUAUCGAGAGGAACACUCGUGGCGAAGGCGGGUUCCUGGACAUUAACUGACGCUGAGGCACGAAGGCCAGGGGAGCGAAAGGGAUUAGAUACCCCAGUAGUC
rnacentral:rRNA from 1 species